rnacentral:rRNA from 1 species
GAUGAACGCUGGCGGCGUGCCUAACACAUGCAAGUCGAGCGGAGAUGAUGAAGCUUCGAUGGAUUCAUCUUAGUGGCCAACGGGUGAGUAACACGUGGGUAACCUGCCCCAAAGCGGGGGAUAACAUUUGGAAACAGAUGCUAAUACCGCACAAUCACAGACACCACAUGUUUUCUGUGUGAAAGAUGGUUUAGGCUACCACUCAGGGAUGGACCCGCGGCGUAUUAGCUAGUUGGUAAGGGAAUGGCGUACCAAGGCAAUGAUACGUAGCCGAACUGAGAGGUUGAUCGGCCACAUUGGGACUGAGACACGGCCCAAACUCCUACGGGAGGCAGCAGUAGGGAAUCUUCCACAAUGGACGAAAGUCUGAUGGAGCAACGCCGCGUGAGUGAAGAAGGUUUUCGGAUCGUAAAACUCUGUUGUCAGAGAAGAACGUGUGCGAGAGUAACUGUUCGUGCAGUGACGGUAUCUGGCCAGAAAGCCACGGCUAACUACGUGCCAGCCGCCGCGGUAA